AGGUGAUUCGAUGCUUCUGUGGUUUAUAAAGUUUUUUUACAUAUGUAAAUAAAGGUUUUUGGUAAGUAAUAUAAUUCAAAAUGUCGUUUUUUUCUUGUCAGAGUGCAGUCUUAUUGAGACUUUUAACGGUUGGAACAAACAUGGUGGAAUUCCUUAACUGGGCAGAGUCCACAAAACCCCAUCCAUUUGUCAUGGCGAUUUGAAAUUGCCAGCAGAUCUCCCAGGCAUUGAUCAUAAUCAAUGGACAGGCCACCGAAGCCACCCGGAUCCAGUCCGUAUCCAAAUCAGAUGGUGGAUCAGCACCUAGAGAUGACCGCGACAGCUCUGAAUGUCAGCAAAGACCACGUCACCUCAACAGCCAUCGGCACAAGGUCGUGGGAACCAGAUGAGUCCUCUACACAAUCUGACUCUGCUGCAGUUGGAAUUGAACUGCUGAUUCGUCUGGCUAGAGGAGAACUGGCCCCUCGACUGAGCCUGGUUUCUCCCAAGGUUUUUUUACACCAUUUCUGUCACCGAUGGAGUUUUGGUUCCUUGCCACUGUCGCCUCUGGCUUGCUUAGUUGGGGACACUUAAUUUCCAGCGAUAUCGUGAGCUUGAAAGCACAGAUACUAUUUGAACUGAACUGAGCUGGACCAUAACUGACUUUAACUGAAAAUUGAGUGUUUACUGUUGUCCUUUUGCAUUUACACACUAUUUUCAGAUUUAAUACUGUAAAGCUGCUUUGACACUGUAUUUUUAAAAUAUGACCGACUCAUUACUCGUAAUACAUGGAAAAUACAGUUUCAAAUGGACUUUGCUUUUCCAUUUGAAAUGUGGCAGUCACUGUGCAUUCGUGAAAACGCAAAAAGUAAUGCAAGAUUUGCAAUUGUGUUUGGAUUCUCACAAUUUGUCACAUGUGGAAAAUAUAAUUUGCAAUUCCUUUUGAAAAUUGCUUGGAAUAUCCUUUCAUAGACAGGCUCUAUAGCAGAGCACACUGCUCUCAGCUGUAGAUCUUUGCUUCAAAGCUUUCUAAGUGUUUGACGAUAGUUUACCCAAAAAUGAAAAUUCUGUCAUUAAUUACCCUGGUGUAAAAGCUCUCGGAUUUCAUUUAAAAUAUCUUAACUUGUGUUCUGAAGAUGAACGAAGGUCUUACGGGUUUGUAACGACAUGAGGGUGAGUAAUUAAUGACAGAAUUUAACUACCUUUAACUACCCUAAGCAGUGCGCAUCUACCUAGGAGACUUUAUAUACUUGAUAUAAAUUUUAGGACAUCUUUAAAUGAUUUUGCAUUCUUUCUUUUUAAAUUCUAAUGGUCAAUGUAAUUUCACUGUGUAUUUAAAUAGUUAAACAUGGCAAAAUGUAAUAGUUAAACAGUUAAACGGGCACAUGUCAUUCAGAACUAAUUUUCUUAUUUAUUGCAACUGUAUUUCUGUGAUUUUUGCAUUUUCUGAAAAAAUAUUCGUCAUUGGUACAAAUUUUAACACAUUUGUGAAUGUCAGUUGGCAUUAAAAAUUAUUUUUAA